rnacentral:misc_RNA from 1 species
UCUCUUCAUGGCACGGCGUUCCCUCACAAAUGAUGGAUCUACUGUGUUCUUCAAAUAAUCAACCUUCUGAGCAAAAUACCACUCUGGGGCUCGAGGCUCUAUACUGAAUUUCUUGCAAAAUGGGACCCAUUUCCUUGCAAACUCGGAUGUUUCAGAGAGUGCCUCAAAAGUAAGCAUGGCAGCACCAUCAUCAGAGACAUAG